rnacentral:tRNA from 1 species
CUGCGCGUAGCUCAGUGGUCAGACCCGCCGGCUCAUAACCUGCUCAUCGCAGGUGCAAGUCCUGCCGCGCGGUCCA